rnacentral:rRNA from 1 species
CGCAUCUGUGCAUGCAGCAUAUCAAUAAGCGGAGGAAAAGAAACUAACAAGGAUUCCCCUAGUAACGGCGAGUGGAGCGGGAAGAGCUCAAAUUUGAAAUCUUAAAGGGUUUCCCUUUACGAAUUGUAGUUUAAAGAAGUGUUUUCUGUUGAGGUUUUGGUAAAAGUUCUUUGGAAGUAGGACAUCAUAGAGGGUGAGAAUCCCGUAUUUGACCUUUACUUUCAACUUUGUGAUACACUUUCAAAGAGUCGGAUUGUUUGGGAAUGCAGUCCAAAAUGGGUGGUAAAUUUCAUCUAAAGCUAAAUAUUGGCGAGAGACCGAUAGCGAACAAGUACCGUGAGGGAAAGAUGAAAAGAACUUUGAAAAGAGAGUUAAACAGUACGUGAAAUUGUCAAAAGGGAAGCGUUUGACACCAGUGUUGUUCUUCUGAAAAUCAAUUAAAGAACUGUUUAUGCUAAGUUGUUUAGACUUUAUCAGCUAUCUGCUUAGUUUUGAGCUUUUCUUUAAUGCACUUUCAGUUAACAAGUCAACAUCAAUUUCUUUUGCUGUAAAAAAGCUUGAGGAAGGUGGCUUGAGAUUCGUCUUAAGUGUUUAUAGCCUCUUGCCUAUGCAGUCGGAGAGAUUGAGGUCUGCAGCGUAGAUCCUUCGGGGCUAAAUGCAUUUGUGCUAAGUUAUAGCAUUUUAUAGACAACUUGUUGACUAUGAUUUGUCUUGUAGCUUACUCGCUUAUGUUAUUUUACCUACGCUUAGGAUGUUGAGUCGUAGAGCACGCAG